ensembl:lincRNA
CAUGUAUGUUUGAAUACUGACAGAAAAUAAUUUUCACAUACUUCACUAUGAUAGAUGACACAAAUCCCAAUUUUACUACACCAACAUAUUGAAGAUGACUUUAAAAUUCUUUUCCAAAGCAGAUAGCAUAAUUUACACACCUAUGGAUACAGACGUGCUGUACUGCUAUCAAGUAGGCACAGGUGACUUAGAUAGGAAGUGAUUUUUCAAUGAGCUCCAAUAAAAACCCACCUCACACGGCUGAAAAAUACAAUAUGUUGGCGCGUUUUCAAUACAAUAGACGGAAGCAAAUGCCACAGCACCAUAAUGCUGCUCUCCACGUGGUGCACCUCACCUUCGAAGUUCAACGUCCCUGAGUGUGCAUGUGGGGAGAGGAGGAGGACGGCAUCUCAAAUUGGGGUCAGGUGUCCUUCCACAGCUCUCGGGCUGGGGACUUCCUGCUUGAUGCAUUUCCACAAGGCAGAGGUCUGGAUUGGUCAUUCAGGUGUGAAGCAGAGGGGAGGACAUGGCAGGAGGGUGGAACCAGAAACCAACAGUGUGCAUGUGGCUUCCAGAGAGAGCAGUUCCAUCGCAGGUGGGAAGCAAAUUGAAAGGAAGAAAGCAGCUGGAAUUGUAAAGGCAGACACAUGAAGUUAAAAGAAAGUCAUUUUUUAAAAGAGAAAAAUACAUAAAUUGCUAAUGUCACAUUAUAAUUUUCACAUCAAAAUCUUAUGAAUAAUAAUUAAUUAAUAGAAAUGUUCCAUUUCAAGAAAAGU